rnacentral:rRNA from 1 species
UACGGGGGGGGCAAGCGUUGUUCGGAAUUACUGGGCGUAAAGGGCUCGUAGGUGGCCAACUAAGUCAGACGUGAAAUCCCCCGGCUUAACCGGGGAACUGCGUCUGAUACUGGAUGGCUUGAGUUCGGGAGAGGGAUGCGGAAUUCCAGGUGUAGCGGUGAAGUGCGUAGAUAUCUGGAGGAACACCGGUGGCGAAGGCGGCAUCCUGGACCGACACUGACGCUGAGGAGCGAAAGCCAGGGGAGCAAACGGG